AUUGAGUUGGCAGAGGUUUUAUGCGAUUGAUUUAGGAUCAAUUGAGAGGAGGCAUACUCCUACUUAAUA
rnacentral:tRNA from 1 species